rnacentral:rRNA from 1 species
CGAUUAGAGUUUGAUCAUGGCUCAGAGUGAACGCUGGCGGCGUGCUUAACACAUGCAAGUCGAACGAGUACGGCUCUAGCUUGCUAGAGUGUCAGCUAAGUGGCGGACGGGUGAGUAAUGUAUAGUUAAUUUGCCCCCUAGAGAGGGAUAACAGUUGGAAACGACUGCUAAUACCUCAUACUCCUUUCUACUUAAUGUAGAUUGGGAAAUGUUUUUUCGCUAAGGGAUAAGACUAUAUGGUAUCAGGUAGUUGGUGGGGUAAGAGCCUACCAAGCCAAUGACGCCUAGCUGGUCUGAGAGGAUGAUCAGCCACACUGGAACUGAGACACGGUCCAGACUCCUACGGGAGGCAGCAGUGGGGAAUAUUGCACAAUGGAGGAAACUCUGAUGCAGCAACGCCGCGUGGAGGAUGACGCAUUUCGGUGUGUAAACUCCUUUUAUAUGGGAAGAUAAUGACGGACCAUA